rnacentral:rRNA from 1 species
UACCAGCACCCCGAGUGGUCGGGACGAUUAUUGGGCCUAAAGCAUCCGUAGCCGGCCUUACAAGUCCUCCGUUAAAUCCAGCUGCUUAACAGAUGGGCUGCGGAGGAUACUAUAAGACUAGGAGGCAGGAGAGGCAAGCGGUACUCAGUGGGUAGGGGUAAAAUCCGUUGAUCCAUUGAAGACCACCAGUGGCGAAGGCGGAUCUCUGGACAGUUCCUGACACUGAGGCACGAAGGCCAGGGGAGCAAACGGG